UCGCAUCUGUGCAUGCAGCAUAUCAAUAAGCGGAGGAAAAGAAACUAACAAGGAUUCCCUCAGUAACGGCGAGUGAAGCGGGAAGAGCUCAAAUUUGAAAUCUUGAAAGGUCACCUUUCACGAAUUGUAGUUUAAAGAAGUGUUUUCUGUUACGAUCGUAAUAUAAGUUCUUUGGAAUAGGACAUCACAGAGGGUGAGAAUCCCGUCUAUGAUUGCGGUUUGUAGCUUUGUGAUACACUUUCAAAGAGUCGGGUUGUUUGGGAAUGCAGCCCAAAACGGGAGGUGAAUUUCUUCUAAGGCUAAAUAUUGGCGAGAGACCGAUAGCGAACAAGUACCGUGAGGGAAAGAUGAAAAGAACUUUGAAAAGAGAGUUAAAUAGUACGUGAAAUUGUCAAAAGGGAAGCGUUUAACACCAGUGUUGUUUUCUGAAAAUCAACCUCUGUUAGCUUUAUGCAUGUUUGUUUAGACCUAAUCAGCUAUCUUGCAUGUUCUAUUGUUUGCAGUGGUGCACUUUUCAGUUUACAGGUCAACAUCAGUUUUUUUUACCGUAAAAAAGUUAAAGAAAGGUAGCUCAUGGCUCCGGUCGUGAGUGUUAUAGUCUUUUUCCUAUGCAGGUAGGAGAGACUGAGGUCUGCAGUGUAGGCUAUUUGGCUAGAUACUCAGGUGCUAUGUGAUACCAUUUCAUAAACAACUUGUUGAUUAUGUUUUGUCUAUUGCAUACUCGCUUGUACUAUCAUACCUACGCUUAGGAUGUUGACGAUCAGCUGAGCGCG
rnacentral:rRNA from 1 species